UAGGGAAUUUUCGGCAAUGGACGGAAGUCUGACCGAGCAACGCCGCGUGAGUGAAGAAGGUUUUUGGAUUGGAAAGCUCUGUUUUUAGAGAAGAACGUUGUUACGAGCGGAAAAUCUACCAAGUUACGGUAACUAACCAUAAAGGGACGGCUAACUACGUGCCAGCAGCCGUGGUAAUACGUAGGUCCCGAUCGUUGUCCGGAUUUAUUGGGCGUAAAGCUAGCGCAGGCGGUUCUUUAAGUCUGAAUUUAAAGGCGGUGGCUUAACCAUUGAAGGCUUUGGAAGCUGGAGGACUUGAAUGCAGAAGGGGAGAGUGGAUUUCCAGGGGUAGCGGAGAAAUGCGUAAGUAUAUGGAGAAACACCGGUGGAGAAAACGGCUAUCUGGUCUGUAACUGACGCUGAGGCUCGAAAGCAUGGGGAGGAAACAGG
rnacentral:rRNA from 1 species